GCGGGUAUGGUUCAGUGGUAGAACGCGACCUUCCCAAGGUUGAGACACGGGUCCGAUUCCCGUUACUCGCUCAA
rnacentral:tRNA from 1 species